UGUACAGUAAAUGCAUAUACUUAUUAUUCUGUUUUUUCUUUGUUUAGUACAAUAAUGACUGUAAUGCCAGGCAUUACAGUAUAAUUAGGCACACAGUAUAAUUGGUACUAGGUUAGUUUCAUACAUUUCAUAACUAAUGUUACUUUGAUAUCUCCAGGUGAUCAGCAUGUGGAGGCGUGUAUAUUUUCUCCCAGGUAGGCUACAGAUGUACUUCCGAAGAGGUCUGAAGUCCUUGGCAAAAUCGGAACAAUACCAGAACGUCAGGAGACCCAGCAGUUGUGGCAGCAUCUGACUGUCGGGACACAACCAACCUCGGAAGCACUCCUUUAAUACCCAUGCAUAUCCACCGUGCUAAUAUUGUUACAUUACAUUACAUUGCUGGCAUUUGGCAGACGCUCUUAUCCAGAGCAACGUACAGUUGAUUAGACUAAGCAGGAGACAAUCCUCCCCUGGAGCAAUGCAGGGUUAAGGGCCUUGCUCAAGGGCCCAAUGGCCCCUUAGAACCACCGACCUUGCGUGUCCCAGUCAUUUACCUUAACCACUACGCUACAGGCCGCCCAUGUUAUGUUAUGUUACUCUAUGUUGCAUCAGGUUACUGUAUGUUGUGUUGCAUUACAGUAUGUUAUGUUGUGUUAUGUUAGGACCUGAUUUGUAGGGUCUGGAAGUGAUGUUUUAAUGUGAGACAGAUAGGCAUACUGAGGCAGAUUUACGCUUACAGAUCUUUUACCUUAACCACUACGCUACAGGCUCAGCUCAGUACUCCGUUCACCACACCACAAUUUUAUAUUCAUAAACAAACGAUUCAAAGUGCAAGUUCUCAUAUUUUAUUAAAGGGUAUUUUUAUGCAUUCUGGUUUCACCAUCUAGACAUGACAGCACUUUUUAUACAUAAUCCCCCAUUUCAGGGCACCAUAAUGUUUGGGACAUAUUUAUGUGAUGUAAAUUACAGUCAUGUUUACUGCAUAUUUUCUGUAUGCAUGACUGGUUGAAGUCUGUGACCCACUGAGACAUGACUGUAGUCUUCUGUGGACAGUAGUCUCUGACACAUCCACGCCUGCCUCCUGAAGGGUGUUUCUGAUCGGUUGGACACAUGUUUGGGGAUUUUUGUUCAUUAUGAUGAGAAUUCUUCAGCAAUCAGCUGUAGAGGUCUUACUUGGCUUACCAUGCCCUAGCCCCAUUACAUGUUCUCUCUCCUUAAUGCUGUUCCAAACAGUUGAUUUUGUUACACCUAAGGUUUGGCAAAACAAAACAGACAUUACAGACUUUUAAUUUUAAUUUUUCAGUCUCAUAAUGGCUUCCUUGACAUUUAUUGGAACAACUCUGGCCCUCAUGUUUAAUGACAAUAAUACAAACCAAAGGCAAGAAAAAGCCUAGAAAAACAUGGUGUUUAUUGUUACUAUGUAUAAAACACACUGUAAUUUCAAUAUGGUGAAACCAAAGUCCGGAAACAUGCCCUUCAGUAUUUGCUGAGAAUAUGCAUUUUUUAUUACAAAUCUAAAAUUGUGGAAGUGAUGGACCGAGCAAGCAGGCACGAGGACACAAAGUCGAGUGCAAAAUUAAGGGUUUUAAUUUACCCAAAAAUCAGGCAAAAGGGUAACAAAACCAAUUGUGGAUUACAAAAAGAUAAUAAAAAACAUACAUUGUGGAGCCCAAACUAUAUUAUAAAUAACGGACCAGAAAAUAGAACUGAACAGAACAGGAGCCUUUUAGCCAAAUGGCAAACUCAAGGAAUAUAAAGACCUGGCCAGGUACAUUUAAACACAGGGGGAAUAAAGUAAUUAACUUCUACACAAAAUAUAAUUGUAUAUUCAAAUACAUCUAACACAAGUAAUUACCUUAAUAAAUAAAGACUUUCACAUCUAAAUAAUUAUCAAACGAUCUAGUUUUAAUACAAAAUAAAUACAACUAAACAAGUGAACUAAGGCCAACCCCCCCUUCAGUCUCCCGGGAGAUGGUUCAGUCCACCGCCCCCGCUCCGGUAUUUAGUAGUGGCCGGAACAGCUGCUCACUCUUUGGCAGUCAGGAGAGGUGGUGGACGGCGCCCGGUGAGAGACAUGUGGAGGAGAAAAGUAUCCCCUGCCACACAUGAGCCAGAGACACGACUGGAUGAAGGUGAGCCUCGCUCCGUAAACACACAUGAGCCAGAGACAUGGCUGGAUGAAGGUGAGCCUCGCUCCGUAAACACACACCUGAGCUAGAGACACGACUGGAUGAUGACGAGCGGAAAGAAAACAUCUCCUCAUGCGAAGUUGGAUGUGAUUCCCGAAAAGCCAUGAUCUGACUGCACUUCAGUCCCCUCCUUUCACAGUCACGUUGUUUCUGGAAGAAAAUAAAUAGACGAUAGUCCUUGUAUUCAA